rnacentral:sRNA from 1 species
GUAUCAAAAAUGAGUACUUCUUCUACGGC